rnacentral:misc_RNA from 1 species
AGGAUACAUAUAGGGAGCGGGAGCAAGAGGGAAAUUGGCAGAAGUGUGUAGACCACUACAUCUUCUUCAAGAAUCACAGAUAUCGUAUAUAAAUAACCAACCGCUUAUUUAUCAUGCUCUAUCGAGAAAGGAACGGAAAAGAAGAGGUGGAGGCAAAAGGCCAUUUUUAUACGAUCGUUUACCACGGGUACUUUUCUUCGCAUAAUAGAAGCUCACCUUCAGAGACGAAAGAAAAGUCGCUUUAAUGAAUGAAAUUCUCGCUGCAAACAAAAUCGAUGCUCGGAAUUUAAGGCCACAGUGAUAAGAUACGAUAAGUUAUAUAGUUCGUUCUUCGUAGGGAAGCAAUUUUUCAAUCGAAUAUGCCGAUAACUAUUCUCGUGGUAAUAAAAUUGUUUCAUUUGAAAAUAU